rnacentral:rRNA from 1 species
UACGGAGGGAGCUAGCGUUGUUCGGAAUUACUGGGCGUAAAGCGCGCGUAGGCGGCUUUGUAAGUUAGAGGUGAAAAGCCCCGGAGCUCAACUCCGGAACUGCCUUUAAAAACUGCAUCGCUUGAAUCCAGGAGAGGUGAGUGGAAUUCCGAGUGUAGAGGUGAAAUUCGUAGAUAUUCGGAAGAACACCAGUGGCGAAGGCGGCUCACUGGACUGGUAUUGACGCUGAGGUGCGAAAAGCGUGGGGGAGCAAACAGG